GGUGUAUAAAAACGAUGAGACACAGGCGCCGCUGAAAUGGAAUUGGGAGUGGUUGUAAUGUCUGGCCAGAAACACCUGGGCGAUGAUACCCAUCACAAGUAUUGCCCCACAGAGGAAGAUGACUUUCUUUUUAAUUAACUCUUGAGGUACCGACGGCUUCUUUAUAGCCUAUGCAGCGAUGUUUAUUCGUUUGGCCUGACAGCAGUUACAGCAUCGUAACUCGUUGACUAAUUCUAUCGUUUUGCUGCGACGGUUUGUCCUAGUACUGGAUAUGGUCUUGAAAAGUCCGUCGAAAAGCUUUUGUACCUCGCACAUGAUUGUAGCGAUGCUUUUAAGAAACUGAGUAUAAUACUAUAAUCUGAUACCCAACGCUCUUUGAUAGUGUAUGAGGGCUAACAUUAAAGACAUCAUAUUGAUAAAUAAGAAUCAAAAUGGGAUUGAAAUGCAACGUGCACACUAAAAAUUGGUCAUCGCAGUUGGCAGACUGAAUGGAAUGACAAUGGAAUUGCAGACUGAACACUUCACACUUCACACUAGACGCCGAAAGACCUUCACGAUAAUGGAAUCAAAACGAAACGAACUCGAAAAUGUACAAUGGACAAUUUAUUGACAGUGAUUAUGAUUUGAGAUGUGGAGAUGUGUGAAACGCGCCUUCAACUCUACCUCCGGAGUGGUGUGGAAAAGAGUUAUUAAAUAAAUAACUAAAACAACAAAUUAUUUGAGUCUAAAGGCACCACAAAUGCUUGUCUUAAAGGUACAUCCGCUGGAUCGUGUUCCGUACUUGAGGCACUGCCACAUGGCGUUCCCAGUAUUUGUGUGCUACUCGUAUAAGAGAACGUCUUAUACGGCUGUGGGCGUAUAAAAGGUGACGGCCUGGCAACGAAUGCUCGCAUACGCUGGCUGGCCCUCGACACUACCAGCUGUAUCCGCUGUCCUCGUGCAGAGUCCUGAAAUGUGAUGCUCCAACAUCGUUAAUAAAUUCUCAAGAGAAUGAAAUGGGCACGUAAAUGUGUGAAUUGAAAGCCUUUCGUUGAAUA